rnacentral:rRNA from 1 species
CAGUCGCCACGGUAAUACGUAGGGUGCGAGCGUUAAUCGGAAUUACUGGGCGUAAAGCGUGCGCAGGCGGUUCGUUAAGACAGAUGUGAAAUCCCCGGGCUUAACCUGGGAACUGCAUUUGUGACUGACGGGCUAGAGUAUGGCAGAGGGGGGUAGAAUUCCACGUGUAGCAGUGAAAUGCGUAGAGAUGUGGAGGAAUACCGAUGGCGAAGGCAGCCCCCUGGGCCAAUACUGACGCUCAUGCACGAAAGCGUGGGGAGCAAACAGGAUUAGAUACCCGCGUAGUCCCUGUCUCUUAUAC